UUGAAACAAGGAAGUGGAGACAAUGUUUCGGCUCCUCUAUGAGCCUUUAUCGAGUCUAGACAAUUAAAAAAAAGUCUAGACGUGAUAAAGGCUCAAAGAGGAGCCGAAACGUUGUCUCCACUUCCUUGUUUCA